rnacentral:sRNA from 1 species
UCGAACGGUCCUUCGGGACAGUGGCGGACGGCUGAGUAACGCGUAGGUAACCUGUCCGAUGGUGGGGGAUAACACUUCGAAAGAAGUGCUAAUACCGCAUGUGAUCGGUCGGCGAAGAUCCGGCCGAGGAAAGCCGCAAGGCGCCAACGGAGGGGCCUGCGUCCUAUCACGGUAGUUGGUGGGGUAACGGCCUACCAAGCCUGUGACGUGUAGCUGGUCUGAGAGGACGACCAGCCAGAAGGGGACUGAGACACGGCCCCUAGUCCUACGGGAGGCAGCAGUGGGAUCUUGCGGAAAACUCGAGCCAU